UCCUCCACAGUCCCUUGAUGCAUUAUAUUGAAGCCAAUGCUUGUGUGAAUGACAAGACAUGUUGUUACCAAGCAGAUCAAACCAGAACCGAAAGACUGUAGCACUUGGGCCCAGAGUCUGGUUCUGAGGCUGCCAUGACCACCCUGUUCUCUUCCUUCUGUUGCGCUUGGGCCCAGAGCCUGGGGCUGAGGCUGCCAUGACCACCUUGUUCUCUUCCUUCUGGGAUCCCCAGGAAGCUCCCAGGACCGAAUGAUCCCCACAAAACACAGUGGCCAGGAUGGGAGGGCUGGAGGUCAACUGCCCCCUGCCCCUACCACCACAACCAAGAGGCCCCAUGGAGGUUGGCCCUGAGCUGUGGGUCCCUGUGGGAUGCGGGUUCCCACGGAUACUUCAGGGGGCGGGUUCUGUCUCUCUUUCUCCACCUGAACUGCACUUGAAGCCAAGAUGAAGGAUGAGAAGUGAUUGCUAUGAAGGACCCUCUUGCAGUGGAUCUGCUGUGAGGAGGCUAUGCUGGCCAAGCCUGUCAUUUCCUUCUCUAAGCUCAUUCCAGAGGUCGGCCAGGGGCAGCCCGUACCUGCUUCCUCUUGUGGCCUGUGAAUCAAGAAUGGAUUUUACAUUUCCAAAUGGUUGAACAAAUAAAAAAAACACUUCAUGUCA